AAAUAAGUCGUACAAGUGAAAAGAGGAAGAUAAUGUAAUACAUGUUUAAAGACAUAUUAACGAAACAUUACGAAAUACACUUCAUUCAACGAAACCAAACUGACCCACCAUCUAAAUACGUAUAAAUUAACGACAGCGUUUUGCCUUGAUUAUCUGAAGCUUAUUUGAAACUGAGAUACUUGAAAAUAUAAUGAUUUUACUUACAUAUAUGUUUACGUGAUCUUUAUGAUGAU